CCUACGGGUGGCUGCAGUGGGGAAUAUUGGACAAUGGGCGAAAGCCUGAUCCAGCCAUGCCGCGUGUGUGAAGAAGGCCUUCGGGUUGUAAAGCACUUUCAGUGGGGAAGAAAGCCUUGGGGCUAAUACCCUCGAGGAAGGACAUCACCCACAGAAGAAGCACCGGCUAACUCCGUGCCAGCAGCCGCGGUAAUACGGAGGGUGCGAGCGUUAAUCGGAAUUACUGGGCGUAAAGCGCGCGUAGGCGGUCUGAUAAGCCGGUUGUGAAAGCCCCGGGCUCAACAUGGGAACGGCAUCCGGAACUGUCAGGCUAGAGUGCAGGAGAGGAAGGUAGAAUUCCCGGUGUAGCGGUGAAAUGCGUAGAGAUCGGGAGGAAUACCAGUGGCGAAGGCGGCCUUCUGGACUGACACUGACGCUGAGGUGCGAAAGCGUGGGUAGCAAACAGGAUUAGAUACCCGAGUAGUC
rnacentral:rRNA from 1 species